rnacentral:rRNA from 1 species
AGAGUUUGAUCCUGGCUCAGAAUCAACGCUGGCGGCGUGCCUAACACAUGCAAGUCGCACGAGAAAGUGGAGCAAUCCAUGAGUAAAGUGGCGCACGGGUGAGUAACACGUGAAUGAUCUACCUCCGAGUGGGGAAUAACUGAGAGAAAUCUUAGCUAAUACCGCAUAACACUUACGAGUCAAAGCAGCAAUGCGCUUGGAGAGGAGUUCGCGGCCGAUUAGUUAGUUGGCGGGGUAAUGGCCCACCAAGACGAUGAUCGGUAUCCGGCCUGAGAGGGCGCACGGACACACUGGAACUGAAACACGGUCCAGACUCCUACGGGAGGCAGCAGUGGGGAAUUUUGCGCAAUGGGGGAAACCCUGACGCAGCAACGCCGCGUGGAGGAUGAAAUAUCUUGGUAUGUAAACUCCUUUCGAUGGGGAAGAUUAUGACGGUACCCAUAGAAGAAGCCCCGGCUAACUUCGUGCCAGCAGCCGCGGUAAUACGAGGGGGGCAAGCGUUGUUCGGAAUUAUUGGGCGUAAAGGGUGCGUAGGCGGUUUGGCAAGUCUUAUGUGAAAUCUCUGGGCUCAACCCAGAGUCUGCAUGAGAAACUGCCGGGCUUGAGUAUGGGAGAGGUGAGUGGAAUUUCCGGUGUAGCGGUGAAAUGCGUAGAUAUCGGAAGGAACACCUGUGGCGAAAGCGGCUCACUGGACCAUUACUGACGCUGAUGCACGAAAGCUAGGGGAGCAAACAGGAUUAGAUACCCCCGUAGUCC